rnacentral:rRNA from 1 species
AUUGAACGCUGGCGGCAGGCUUAACACAUGCAAGUCGAGCGGAGAGAGGUAGCUUGCUACUGAUCUUAGCGGCGGACGGGUGAGUAAUGCUUAGGAAUCUGCCUAUUAGUGGGGGACAACAUUUCGAAAGGAACGCUAAUACCGCAUACGUCCUACGGGAGAAAGCAGGGGAUCUUCGGACCUUGCGCUAAUAGAUGAGCCUAAGUCGGAUUAGCUAGUUGGUGGGGUAAAGGCCUACCAAGGCGACGAUCUGUAGCGGGUCUGAGAGGAUGAUCCGCCACACUGGGACUGAGACACGGCCCAGACUCCUACGGGAGGCAGCAGUGGAGAAUAUUGGACAAUGGGCGCAAGCCUGAUCCAGCCAUGCCGCGUGUGUGAAGAAGGCCUUAUGGUUGUAAAGCACUUUAAGCGAGGAGGAGGCUACUUUAGAUAAUACCUAGAGAUAGUGGACGUUACUCGCAGAAUAAGCACCGGCUAACUCUGUGCCAGCAGCCGCGGUAAAAC